rnacentral:rRNA from 1 species
UACGGAAGGCAGCAGUGGGGAAUAUUGCACAAUGGGCGCAAGCCUGAUGCAGCCAUGCCGCGUGUAUGAAGAAGGCCUUCGGGUUGUAAAGUACUUUCAGCGGGGAGGAAGGCGGUGAAGUUAAUAGCUUCACCGAUUGACGUUACCCGCAGAAGAAGCACCGGCUAACUCCGUGCCAGCAGCCGCGGUAAUACGGAGGGUGCAAGCGUUAAUCGGAAUUACUGGGCGUAAAGCGCACGCAGGCGGUCUGUCAAGUCGGAUGUGAAAUCCCCGGGCUUAACCUGGGAACUGCAUUCGAAACUGGCAGGCUAGAGUCUUGUAGAGGGGGUAGAAUUCCAGGUGUAGCGGUGAAAUGCGUAGAGAUCUGGAGGAAUACCGGUGGCGAAGGCGGGCCCCUGGGACAAGGACUGACGCUCAGGUGCGAAAGCGUGGGGAGCAAACGAGGAUUAGGAUACCCGGU